rnacentral:rRNA from 1 species
GACGAACCGUCCGAACGUUAUUCGGAAUCACUGGGCUUAAAGCGCGUGUAGGCGGCGCGGCACGUCGGACGUUGAAAUCCCCCGGCUUAACCGGGGAAGUGGCGCCGAUACGGCCGUGCUGGAGGGGGGUAAGGGGGCCUGGAACUUCCGGUGGAGCGGUGAAAUGCGUUGAGAUCGGAAGGAACGCCCGUGGCGAAAGCGAGGCCCUGGACCCUUACUGACGCUGAGACGCGAAAGCCAGGGGAGCGAACGGG